CAGUAGCCACGGGAAUACGUAGGGUGCAAGCGUUAAUCGGAAUUACUGGGCGUAAAGCGUGCGCAGGCGGUUUGUUAAGACAGAUGUGAAAUCCCCGGGCUCAACCUGGGAACUGCAUUUGUGACUGGCAAGCUAGAGUGUGGCAGAGGGGGGUGGAAUUCCGCGUGUAGCAGUGAAAUGCGUAGAUAUGCGGAGGAACACCGAUGGCGAAGGCAGCCCCCUGGGCCAACACUGACGCUCAUGCACGAAAGCGUGGGGAGCAAACAGGAUUAGAGACCCCUGUAGUCCCUGUCUCUUAUAC
rnacentral:rRNA from 1 species